CAAAAUCAUUUCCCCUCCGGAGUCUUAAGUCCCUCAUCUACAUUGGGAAGACACCGAAGGUACCAGUUAGGAUGCAUCUGGCUGCAGGCCAGGACUCUCUGGAAUUUCCUUAUCUGACUGAGGAAAGCUUCUUCCAAAACAAAAGCAAUUAUCCUAAGGCCUUUCCCUAGGACUCUAAUAAAAUAACCAGGAAAGAUUAAGCACUCAGAGAAAGAAGCG
rnacentral:lncRNA from 1 species